UACGUAGGGUGCAAGCGUUGUCCGGAAUUAUUGGGCGUAAAGAGCUCGUAGGCGGUUUGUCGCGUCUGCUGUGAAAACUCGGGGCUUAACCCCGGGCCUGCAGUGGGUACGGGCAGACUAGAGUGCGGUAGGGGAGACUGGAAUUCCUGGUGUAGCGGUGAAAUGCGCAGAUAUCGGGAGGAACACCAAUGGCGAAGGCAGCUCGCUGGGACGGUACUGACGCUGAGGCGCGAAAGCGUGGGGAGCAAACAGG
rnacentral:rRNA from 1 species